AUGGUUAAAUCAUGUUGCAAAUGCUUGUUCUCGUUCGAACACCAAAGUUAACCAGUGUUGAGCCUGGUCAGUUCUUAGAUGGGUGACUGUUUGGGAACACCAGGUGCUGUCAG